rnacentral:rRNA from 1 species
UACGAAGGGGGCGAGCGUUGUUCGGAAUUACUGGGCGUAAAGCGCACGUAGGCGGUUUGUUAAGUCAGAGGUGAAAUCCCGGAGCUCAACUCCGGAACUGCCUUUGAUACUGGCAAGCUAGAGUCCGGAAGAGGUAAGUGGAACUCCUAGUGUAGAGGUGGAAUUCGUAGAUAUUAGGAAGAACACCAGUGGCGAAGGCGGCUUACUGGUCCGGAACUGACGCUGAGGUGCGAAAGCGUGGGGAGCAAACAGG